CCCUCCUCUCGAUCCAUCCCAUCUGGCUGCGUUUUCUCUUUCCCUCGUCUCCCACUCCGCCACCGCCGCCGCAUCUCCCGCUCCGCGGCUGCCCCUACUGCUCCACCGGACCGGCCUCUUCUUCGAGCGCGGUGGCAGGAGCAGCUCCACCUCUCCACUCCCCCACGCGAGAACGCUCCUAACCCCACCAACAUGCCCGGCCGCCACUAGGGUUUCUUACCCUCGCUGCCCCGCCGCCACCUCUCCUCACUUUUCCCCACCGCCGUCUGGAGCUACUUCGUCGACGGCGUCAAUGGGCUUUCAUGAGACCUCCUGGCCUUCUGCCACCGCCGUCGAGUUCAUCCCCCAGGCUGACAUACUGCGAUCGGGACACCGUCGGAUCCUCUGUCGCGGGCCCACGUCCCAGUCCUCUCCUUCCUCUCAUAGUUCAUUUGUGCUGCAGGCACUUCAUGGAUGAGAUUUUCUCAAGCUGUUCUCACCUCCUCACGUCGUGCAGCCUCCACACGCGAAGCCACUAAGGCAGGAAUCGAAAGUGACAGUCUGUGCAUCGUGUUCUCCCCAAGGUCAUAUUGCUGCCCUGUUGCAAGAAUUAUGUGUAUCUUUUCAGUAUCAGUCUGACAGAUUCAUGUGUAUCUUUUCAGUAUUCAAAAUUAGGCAAUUCGAGUGAUACAUAUAUUGUUUGGAAUUUCGUUGCUAGGCCAUGACCGGUUCAAUUUAUCCAUCAUUUAAUGUUUUCAUUUUUCAAGAUGUACAAUAGUUACUUCUAUGGAAUUGUACUAACAAGGUUACAUUCAGCUUCGUUAAAUGUCCAGAUGCAAGUUGAUGAAUGACUGUUUAUUUUACUUGAGAAGAACUAAUUCACAUGUUCAAGAACAACUGUAGGAGUAUAAUUUCAUAAGCCUUUGUACUGAAUGCAACAUCCACGUGAUGAAUUACAGUUUAUUUGGAUGGUACUAUCUCUAUUUUUUGGUGAUGUCGAUAAAAGGAUAAAUACGUUUUCUCUCAAUAUUUUAUUUGCAUCUUGUCGUCAUCGAAUUGGAGGCGUAAAUGUAUUUUCUUUAGGUAACUCGAAUCCCAGACCAACAUAAAGUGUACUGCGUUCAAGCUAAAAUUCUUUGCAUAAAAUAGUGUGAACCAAAUAAUCCUAGGUAUCUUGAUAUAAUGGUUUCUGAAGGCUUGGAAAUCACACAACUUGCCUUGGACGCUUAUUAACUUAUAGUAUUAUAAACUGUCAUUGUAAAGGUGGUUGCCUGUCAUUGUAAAGGUGGUUGCCUCUGUACCAAAUUGCUCCUCAAUUUUGUAGAUUCGAUCUGUUGUUUAUGCUCAUAGGACUACUAGAGAAGAUUUACAUGUAGCCUGAGAAGAAGACUGAUAAAGAUCUUGAUUGUAUCAGGCUAUGAUUUGGAGAGGUUGCUCUUGAUUUUAUUUGCCUGUGCCACUGGAUGUGUACAUGUACUUUAGUCGGAAUGUGUGCAUCAUCUAAUUUUGACUCAAUCUAGGUAGAAAGAAAAUGUAUCCAACCAAAGGGAACAUCAUAUAUUGUUUGUUGCCAAUGUACGAUACCUAAGCCUGGACACUAACCUAAGGUUCAUGUUUCUCCUUCUUAGCUUAUUUUAAGAGGAACCGGGCAUGUUUGCUUCUGGCUUUCUUCAUUGGCUAACAAGAAAAUUUUCUAGCUUUCGCAAACUCUUCUUGUUGCAGCGGAUGAGUUGGAUAAGACAUUCCUCAAUGUGUACCUGGAUUCUCUUUGGGCACCUAAUUUUUGGGUAGGUGUUAAUUUUGCUCAAACUGUCUGUUUUAUUAUUCUAGCAGCCCGCUUCGCUUUGGUCUUCAGAUUAAGCAAUUCUCUGUAUUCAAUGGAAAGGUCAAUAGCUGCUCUCUAAAGGUAUGCCAAAUUAACAGGUUGUCUUGUCACCAUACCUUUCGAUUAUCUGCAAUGCAAAUAAAAGUAGAAAAAACUUCUGAAGUAUCCUAGAAGAAGCUCUCAGUUGUAAUGAGACCUUUCAACUUAAACUAGAUAUGACUUGCCAUCUGUUGUAAAAGUGGACAUAAUGUUGACUCACAAUCGUGUUAGUGAAAGACCAACUGAUUUCCUAUAUUUCAUUUGAGUAAUUUUGAUUGUACAAUGACAUAUUAGCCAUAAGUCAUAACACAUCUAGAAUUCAUGUACUGAAUGCAACCGUGAAACCUGAACCUUGAUGUUGUAUUAGAUCUGUGAUUAUCCUGUUUAUACAAACUUUUAUUUGUGCCGCCACGUCGGUCCGUAUUCAUCUGCUGCGUCAGGUUGGCCACAACAAGGAGAUGGACGCGACCGCGUUGUCCCAUCGACCUCUGGGGCAGCACAUCAUCUACCCAAUCCCGACAAUGGCGCCCCCUCAGGCCGAUUCCCCUCACUGGGAGGUGCAUGCUGACGCAUCCCCGUCACUUUUUUGACCUUGCUCUCUUCGUGUCUCCUCUUAUUUAUAAUUGUAGUAAAGUUUCAGGUGUUUUUGGGAAAUCAUGGGCACACAAUCGCCUGUAUACCUCUUGCUAUUAGUUUGUGUGCCUAUGAGCUGGUAAAUUCCCUCCUCCGAUUGUGCCAGAACAAACCAAUGAAUUGUUUUAAUAAUAUGUAGCACCACUCAGUUUUGAAAAUUUGGAAUUGUGAGAUGCGGGUUUUAACUUUUAAGAACAUCCAGGGCACAUCUUUUCUUGGAAUGCAGUUAGUUCGGUGGUGGUCAUCUGAGAUGUCAGUGGCACCUAAAGAUGUAUCAAAAUCUAUUGCACAAAGUAAAUGAGCACUCAGGACAGCAACUUCCAUCUUGGCCUGUAUAAUGCUGGUUCGGCCGUGGCCUUUCAUAUCUCAGAUUCCUCUGUUAUUGCAGGGUGUGUCCUGUUAUGUUGGGUUUCCUGUGAUUUGGGUGUGGCUAGCUACAUAGCGUCUGUGGGCCAUGCGUGUGGCAUGCAUGCUAGGUAAUCAUGACUCUGAUGCGGCGGUGCCAGAACCGCCUCCAUUGGGUACGACCGCCGUGGCUAUGCUUGAAGUCAGAAUCACCACGAUGACUGUAGUCGCCGCACUCAGAUAAGAGAGGCAGCUACGGUAUAUGAUCAAGCCUUUGCUGUCGUGCUCUGAAUUUGGGAUCACGUGCAUGUGCAAGAGAAAGAGCAUGAGAGCCUAAGAUGGUAGUACAACAUUACAAACAAGUUGAUUUUUAUCCAUGGAAUUGAUUUGAUGCGAAGCUGAUGCCACAUAAAAGGUUAACUGAGUUCUUAUCUCCAAUAUGUCAUAAUGUCACAGUUCAAUUAUUUUCACAUCUCUAGCCACUAUGCACGGAAGGUGUUUGCUAAUUUGCACAAUGAUCUUUUCUGAUAAAAUACGCUAACAUUACCUUCAUUUUUUCACGUUUUAGUGAUGUCCUCUUAUUAAUUCCUUCUAUAAUCAAAGCUAAUAUGUAUUUGUUCAUCUAAGUAUCUAACUACAGGUGGAAGAACAAGAUUCAGUGUGUGCAACGACAACAAUAAAUAACAUGUCAUUAGGGAGACUUCUGACAAUUGAACCCUGCAUUUUUUGGCAUUAGUACAAGUGUUCUACUGCAUUAUUCAACUAUGCGCAAUGAAGCUGGUAUAGGGUAUGGACUAGACAAUUUAUUCAGGGUUUUUUUCAGGAAGGUAUGCAGAUUGGGCAUCAAAGUAGACGACAAAGGAUGACAAACAAUGACAUUCUGCACCUUACAACUUAAAAAUUGAUUGAUACUUUCUAUUUUAUAUUGAUGUGAUCGCCAAUGAGAACAAAUUUUUGACCGAAUUUGUUUCAUUAAAGUGAAGUUGUUCGGACUUUUCUUUGAAUGUUUAUUUUAGUCGCAUAAAAAAGCAUUGUGAGUAAUGUUUUUUGAGCUGAUUAUGAGUAAUGUUUGGUUCCAUGCAGGACAAAGGAAUGAACACGAAGCAAAUUAUAACACUCAGAUUCAUGGUUUAGGAGUAUGAAUGCACAUUUCCAUCUUUUUGAUAUUCUCGUAUGCAUAAUACUAACACUACAUACAUAAUCUCAAAAUUGUGUAGAUGGGUCAUCAGUAGCAUUUCUCUAAUUAUCCUUAUAGACUCAUUUGGAUUGUUUAAGAAAAGGAUCUCAAUUCUCAAUAGCAAACUAUACUGGGACAUCAUGGACCUAUUCUCCACAUUUUUGAGCUAGGUGAGUUGGACAGCAUGUCAUCAGGGGAAACCAUUUCUUCCUUCCAACCCGUGGGCUAAAUUUUUUAUCACCAUAUGUUUAGAUUUUUGUGUCAGCCUUGAACUUUUGAGGAAUUGUUAGAUAUGUUGGUGAACGGGCAGGCGGUGCUAGACAUGGCAGGGCAAGAGAGCACAAGGAAGAAUGCCAAAGGGGGCAUCAUAAAUGGGAGUUCGCCUUUAUGCUCAUGUGGUCAGAACCUAGAGCAUGGAUACAAGACCUCCAUCAUCGUCUAUGGACAUCAAAGCAAGGGAGAAGUGAUGAUGGACAUCAAAGGAGUAGAGACAGUGAGCAUGGGCUCCUUGAAGAUACUUAUCAUGACAUAUACUCAGUAUACAGUAAAAAAAUCGUAUGCCACAUAUAUGUUGUGAAUUACUAUGAUACUUGAUCAAUGAAUGUAUUUCUAAAAGAAUCUGUGGCAACACACGACAUUCAACUAUAACUUCAAC